rnacentral:rRNA from 1 species
AUGAACGCUGGCGGCGUGCCUAAUACAUGCAAGUCGAGCGAACAGACGAGGAGCUUGCUCCUCUGACGUUAGCGGCGGACGGGUGAGUAACACGUGGUUAACCUACCUAUAAGACUGGGAUAACUUCGGGAAACCGGAGCUAAUACCGGAUAAUAUAUUGAACCGCAUGGUUCAAUAGUGAAAGACGGUUUUGCUGUCACUUAUAGAUGGAUCCGCGCCGCAUUAGCUAGUUGGUAAGGUAACGGCUUACCAAGGCAACGAUGCGUAGCCGACCUGAGAGGGUGAUCGGCCACACUGGAACUGAGACACGGUCCAGACUCCUACGGGAGGCAGCAGUAGGGAAUCUUCCGCAAUGGGCGAAAGCUUGACGGAGCAACGCCGCGUGAGUGAUGAAGGUCUUCGGAUCGUAAAACUCUGUUAUUAGGGAAGAACAAAUGUGUAAGUAACUAUGCACGUCUUGACGGUACCUAAUCAGAAAGCCACGGCUAACUACGUG